rnacentral:rRNA from 1 species
UACGGAGGGGGCUAGCGUUGUUCGGAAUUACUGGGCGUAAAGCGUACGUAGGCGGCUUGGCAAGUUAGAGGUGAAAGCCCGGAGCUCAACUCCGGAAUAGCCUUUGAGACUGCCUCGCUUGAACGUCGGAGAGGUGAGUGGAAUUCCGAGUGUAGAGGUGAAAUUCGUAGAUAUUCGGAAGAACACCAGUGGCGAAGGCGGCUCACUGGAUGACUGUUGACGCUGAGGUACGAAAGCGUGGGGAGCAAACAGG